AAUAUCUCUGUUAUGUUAUCAAAUGUAGAUAUUGUUAGGAUCGAUCCCGUCCGAACUAGUGAAGGAGGCAAAGGGAGGGGAGGUUCAUGUUGACAUGGAAGAUCACAGAAAUGAGGAAUAUGUGAAACCAAAAGCCUCAAAGAAACCAUUUCAAGGUUCUGGCCAAGUUCUAGGCUCAAUAGCUCCCCAGGUGAGUAUUCCUUCCCAGUCCACUGCAGAUCCUCUCCAAGCAGAAACUAAAGCCAGGGAGCAAGUUAAACUUGUUGAAUCUAUUAGAU